rnacentral:rRNA from 1 species
AUUGAACGCUGGCGGCAGGCUUAACACAUGCAAGUCGAGCGAGCGGCGGACGGGUGAGUAAUGACUGGGAAACUGCCUGAUGGAGGGGGAUAACUACUGGAAAAGGUAGCUAAUCCCGCAUACCAUCAGAUGUGCCCAGUGGGGAUUAGCUAGUAGUAGGUGUAAUGGCUCACCUAGGCCAAGAUCCCUAGCUGGUCUGAGAGGAUGACCAGCCACACUGGAACUGAGACACGGUCCAGACUCCUACGUGAGGCAGCAGUGGGGAAUAUGGCACAAUGGGCGCAAGCCUGAUGCAGCCAUGCCGCGUGUGUGAAGAAGGCCUUCGGGUUGUAAAGCACUUUCAGCAAGGAGGCGUUACUCGCAGAAGAAGCACCGGCUAACUCCGUGCCAGCAGCCGCGGUAAUUC